UGUAAAUAGCACAUAGGUGGGAACCUUUGAAUGCAGCAACUACAGAAUGAUUAAGAAAGCGUGCCUGCCUUCUCUCUGCUCACACACUCACGGAACAACUAAAUCAGGACCCUUCGAAGCUUCCAGAUCAUCAUAAGAGCAUCUGCUGGUGCAGUGGAGUCUUGGGGUGAAGGAUUUGUAUCUGCAGAACCCCUGAGUCAUAGUAUCCACCCUCUGCUUCAGAUCAUCUACUAGUAGAGGACUCAUUGACCUGGGACGAAGUUCAUAGUUGAACAGCUCUGGAUAAAAGAAUGUUAUUAUUUGUGUUGAGUCAAGACUGGCCUUCAAGACACCCACUCUUUUGUACAAGUUCUGUACUUGACAGCAGUGGAAGUUUCAAUAUAAAAUAUAGAAGUAUCCCCAAAGAUGUCCUUUGAUGAGGAAUCCCUUGAUAGGGUUAGCUGUUACUUCAAACUCUUGGCAGGAAGAGAGGCACUGAACAUGAAGGAGGCCUGAAAACAGGUGGCAGGGCCCCAAACACCAGACUGGGGUUCUGGAACAAUUUUUUAGUUCCUGGCUAACCCAGCACAGAUUACAGAACUGGAAGAAAUAAGUUGUUGUUGUAAGGCAGUUAAUUUUGAAGUUAUCUCUGAGGCGUUUUUUUUUUUAAUCCAACAAUAUAGAUAAGUGAAACAUGCACAUAUAUUUAGUUUCAAAUAAAACUUCAUAGACUAACCAAAGCCUCUUCCCAGAUUUCUUAGACAAUCUUCAGACCAAGUUUAGAAUCCCUGGAAAGGAAUGCUCCCAGGCCCCAGUCUUACAAAUUUAGGGCUACAUCUCCCAAUAUUUGUCCCAAGUGAUGCUCCUCUUUAUGCCCCUCUCUUAUUAUUCCCUCUGCUCAGAAUGCCAUCUCCCACCCCCUUUCUUCUUACCCAAAACCUACCCAUCCUUGAGGCCCGUGCCAUGCUCCCCUUCCUCUAACAGACCUUUCCUCUCCUCUGUCCUAGUGCUGUGGUCACCACCAGCAAUAGCCAUACGUGGAAUGGGCUUCAGAAAGACCUUUGCUACCAGGGUCUCACCCCGCUUCAGCUCCCAAUAGCAUUCUUUCACAGUUGUUUCAUGGCACCUGGAGCCUCCCUGUUAUCAUGAUAUGUACACUACCUAAAAGUGCUCCUAGGCACUGUGUUUCCCUCAUCUCUGUGUGCCCUGUAGUGCCUCAGACUGUCAUGGGCGCAUCACCAGGACUUUUUCCAGUCCUUCUCCUUCUAACUCCAUGGUAUAGGCCUGGCUUAGAUUAAUGAUGCCGUCGGAAUUGGUAUCACAACCAAGCCUUUGUGCUCAUCUGAUUCUCGCACCUGGAAAGCAGCAUGAGAGCAGUAUCUGCACAUGUGCAGGUCCUCUUCAUAGGAAAACUUGAGUUUUCUGAAAGCUCAGGACUUGAGUCAAAUGAUCCUGCUCCCUGCUUGAUUCCUGAGUUUAGUGUUAAAUACUUCCUAACUGGAUGAACCUGAGCAGACUAUUAACCCUCUAUAUUAUGUUUUCUUCAUGUAAACAUUGGAGUUGUUCCAAUCUUGUAAUGUUGCUUUGUGUUUUAAAUGCCAUGUAUAUUCAACACCCAUCUAGUGAACAACACAUAACACAUUCUAUAAAAUUUUGGGAUUAAAAAAUGCUCUGGUGUCUGACUACUGUUAUGUUACUGCAGAUCCACUCUGCCUCAUUAUGACCUUGUUGAGUGGGACUUCUUGUAUUUAUUAUUACCUUUUUUUGCAAAAAGUAAAAUUCUAAAAUAAUUUACUGUUUAAAUUUAAAUCUAAGAAAUCUUAUAUUUGAGGGAAAAGCUACCAUAUUAAGAGCUCGUCUUCCUAGUUUCAUAUCAAAGUCUAUGCUCCUCUCAAACAUUAAACUAGAGCUGAGUUCAUUAGUCAUUCUCUUUAUCUUUCUCCUGAGGUUGUUAUUUUUGGUCUCAAUGUUAAACGAGACUAAACACUAACAAUUUAACCUCCCUCUCUUUUCACAAUAGCGACGUUUGCGUCCUUAAAACUGAAUGCCACACAGCUGACACAGUGCCGUUAGCAGACUUUACACCUUGGUUCUGUUUGCUUUGGAAAGACCAAAUGGAAAAUAAAGUCUGUGCAUCACUCAA